rnacentral:rRNA from 1 species
GAUGAACGCUGGCGGCGUGCCUAACACAUGCAAGUCGAACGGAAGGGCCCUGCUUUUGUGGGGUUCUCGAGUGCGGAACGCGGGAGUAUCACGUGUGUAACCUGCCCUUGACUUUCGGAUAACUUCAGGAAACUGGGGCUAAUAUCGGAUAGGAUCUCCUGCUCCAUGGUGGGCAUUGGAAAGUUUCGGCGGUUGGGGAUGGACUAGCGGCUUAUCAGCUUGUUGGUGGGGUAGGGGCUUACCAAGGCUUUGACGGGUAGCCGGCCUGGGAGGGUGACCGGCCACAAUGGGACUGAGAGACGGCGCAGACUGCUACGGGAGGCAGCAGUGGGGAACAUUGCACAAUGGGCGGAAGCCUGAGGCAGCAGCGCCGCGUUCGGAAUGCCGGCCUUCGGGGUGUAAACCGCUUUCGCCUGUGACGAAGCGUGAGUGACGGUAAUGGGUAAAGAAGCACCGGCUAACUACGUG